rnacentral:rRNA from 1 species
AGUGAACGCUGGCGGCGUGCUUAACACAUGCAAGUCGAACGGUAACAGGAACUAGCUUGCUAGUUUGCUGACGAGUGGCGCACGGGUGAGUAAUAUAUAGUUAAUGUACCCCAAAGACUGGGAUAGCCACUGGAAACGGUGAUUAAUACUAGAUACACCUCUUUAACAUAAGUUAGAGAGGGAAAUGUCUUUUCGCUUUGGGAUCAGACUAUAUCCUAUCAGUUAGUUGGUGAGGUAAUGGCUCACCAAGGCAAUGACGGGUAGCGGGUUUGAGAGGAUGAUCCGCCACACUGGUACUGAGACACGGACCAGACUCCUACGGGAGGCAGCAGUGAGGAAUAUUGCACAAUGGAGGAAACUCUGAUGCAGCAACGCCGCGUGGAGGAUGACGCAUUUCGGUGUGUAAACUCCUUUAUGAGUCAAGAAAAUGACGGUAGCUCAUGAAUAAGCACCGGCUAACUCCGUGCCAGCAGCCGACGG